rnacentral:hammerhead_ribozyme from 1 species
GCACCUCUAACGAGUCCCAAACAGAACGAAACAGCCGUCCGGUGC